UAGGGAAUCUUCGGCAAUGGACGAAAGUCUGACCGAGCAACGCCGCGUGAGUGAAGAAGGUUUUCGGAUCGUAAAACUCUGUUGUUAGAGAAGAACAAGGACGUUAGUAACUGAACGUCCCCUGACGGUAUCUAACCAGAAAGCCACGGCUAACUACGUGCCAGCAGCCGCGGUAAUACGUAGGUGGCAAGCGUUGUCCGGAUUUAUUGGGCGUAAAGCGAGCGCAGGCGGUUUCUUAAGUCUGAUGUGAAAGCCCCCGGCUCAACCGGGGAGGGUUAUUGGAAACGGGGAGACUUGAGUGCAGAAGAGGAGAGUGGAAUUCCAUGUGUAGCGGUGAAAUGCGUAGAUAUAUGGAGGAACACCAGUGGCGAAGGCGGCUCUCUGGUCUGUAACUGACGCUGAGGCUCGAAAGCGUGGGGAGCAAACAGG
rnacentral:rRNA from 1 species